UCUGAGGGGUGGGUGCUGCCCUCCCCCCCGCCCCGCGGACCCCCCAGCUCCCGGGCCUGGUGGAGGAGAGCCAUGAGUGUCUCUGGUCUGUCCUCUGACAUUCCGAGCGAGAGCCUGGUGGCCCAAGGCCCGGGCCUGCCUGUGCUCUCAGGCUGGGGCGGGCCAGGCUGAGCCUGACCCCUUGCAGCUCAGAGCCCCGAGGGUCACGCCCACGGAGCAGGCAGCUGUCUUCCCCUUCACGCACUCCAGCUGACCCUAGAAGGAAGCAGAGGGACAGCGACAAGUGGCCAGUGUGGUUUUCCCCCUUUCUCCCUGGGCUUCUUCAGCUUACUGAGCUACAGAGAAUGAAUUGUUUAAGCAAAGGCUGAAAAGAGACGUUGACUCAGUUCAGCUUGCCCGGUUCUUAGAAGCCUGAUCAGAAUUCUCCAUGGGACCUGGGUCCUCUCCAUCGCUCCUGAGCCUGGCGUGAGUGCACAGGGGAGGCGCUGGUCCCGGGAGGCCGGGCCCGAGGCAGGAGCCGCGGGAGAAGCUGGGCCAAGCGGAGGGCACCUCACCCUGACCCCUCGGCCAGACCCCCUUCCCAGUGGGCGUCUCAGGGUGAGGGCUGCAGCCUUUCUUCACAGGGAGCUCCUCCCAGGCGGGCAGCCUGGCAGGCCAAUCUCACCUGUGCUCUCACAGCCCUGGGUGCCCCACCUCCUGGGGGCAGAGGUCCUACCUCGCACUGGGGACCCUCCUCUGCAGACGUGGACACAGCCCCCAGGGCAUCUGAGCGCUCGCGGGGACAGUCCCUCAUGACUCAGUGCCCCUGGGCCUUGUCUUCCGCAUCUGUAAACAAGGGGCAUCUCGGUCACCUCCAGGGGCUCUCUCUGCCCCAGCCCUGAAGUCCUGCCUGCCCUUCCAUUCCAAGAUCAGGACAUGGUGGGCUCCUGAAGGCCCUCUUGGCUGUGGCAGUGCUGGUGGACCCUCCACCCUCAGGGAGGAGCUCUGGUCCCCUGGCUUGCAGCGCCCAGGCCGUGGACCUUCUUGUGUCCUCUGCCCUCUGCCUGCCGGCUGGGGCCACCAUGGUCACCACUGGGGUCACCACUGUGUCAGAGGGAGGAGUUGAUAUUUCUGCUGCCCUGAGAACAGUGCCCUGAAUGGGGUAAGCGCAAUAUAUGUGUUUGU